GCCAUAGACAUAAUAUUGUUUAGAAGAAAAGGAAUCUACAUUAUGAAGUAGAAUUAGUAGGUGAAGCCUGCUUAAGGCAGAGAAGCUUAGAUUUGAGAUUCGAAGGAACAUUGUAGGGUAGAUCUCAACAGGGAUUUGAGAAGUAGCAUUCUGGAUUGGGCUAUAGAAUAAGCCAAGACCUGCAGGCAAGAAAGAACAGAAGAUAAAAUAUAUGUGUGGGAGAAAAGGGGCCCUGGCUGUAACAGAGUGGGAAGAAGAGAAAAAAGAAAGAAGGAGAGCAAAAUGACUUAAAGACAUUUUCAAGAAAAAAAGAGGAGAGAAGUCACUGAAAUGGAAAAAUAAACAUAUUAUAUAACUAUUUAUUGCACUAUGCAAUAAAAACAUCUUCAGCAACAGCCACACAAGUGCGGGUAGAGGGUCUGCUUUGAAGAGAGAAAAAAGGCUGCUGCAGAAAAAACAAACCUCAAUUCAUAAUUGGAGCUUUUGUUCUUUCUGGAUUGUUUUGUGAAGAACAUGCUGCCAAAAAACAUUUUUCUUCUGUAACCGCUUCUUUUGAAACUCCAUUCUUUUUUAUUUCAAGGAUGUUUAUUAUCUACUCAUUUCUUUUUAUUUAUUUUUGAAUCAUAUACCCCAAUGUCUAGAUGACUGGGACCACUAGGUUUCAUAUUUCCCAGAUGAGAUUAGUUGUACAGUUCAUUUUGCAGGUUUAUUCAGAGCAUUUCAAUGGCAUUUCACCUACAGUUCACCUAUAUUGAGUCCUAAGAAAUUGAAGGUGUUUCUUGAUAGUUCUCCUGCUCCAUCUUCUUCCAGGGGAUUGAUUUGGCUUCUUAUGUUUUUGUAUUUGGUUGCUCAUUAGAGAUAAGCCUGAUUAUUUGGCAUUGUGUAUUUUCUCUGUUUUAAAAAGGGAAAAUACAACAUGUUAUUAAUUAUUAUGAUAUAAUAAAAAAUGGAGAGAAGGAAAAAGAUUUUCAUCCUGACACUUUGAGUCAUUUUAAGAAUUUUCAGCUUGCUUUGUCAUUUGUUUCUUUAAACUCAAGAGAUUUGGUUUCUGAAUUUGAAUAAUCUUCAAUACACUGCAUGCUGAUUCACAGGUCUCCAGUAAAACAACUUGAAAAACUCAAAAAA
ensembl:lncRNA LNCBRM lncRNA SMARCA2 (BRM) associated